CCUACGGGAGGCAGCAGUAGGGAAUCUUCCACAAUGGGCGAAAGCCUGAUGGAGCAACGCCGCGUGAGUGAUGAAGGCCUUCGGGUUGUAAAACUCUGUCAUUCGGGACGAACCGGAGUCUGAGGAAAUGCAGACUCUCUGACGGUACCGGAGGAGGAAGCCCCGGCUAACUACGUGCCAGCAGCCGCGGUAAUACGUAGGGGGCAAGCGUUGUCCGGAUUCACUGGGCGUAAAGCGCGCGCAGGCGGUGAUGUAAGUCUGAGGUGAAAACCCGAAGCUCAACUUCGGGACUGCCUUGGAUACUGCGUCACUUGAGGAUAGGAGAGGCAAGGGGAAUUCCACGUGUAGCGGUGAAAUGCGUAGAGAUGUGGAGGAACACCUGUGGCGAAGGCGCCUUGCUGGCCUAUUUCUGACGCUGAGGCGCGAAAGCGUGGGGAGCAAACAGGAUUAGAUACCCUGGUAGUCCACGCUGUAAACGAUGAGUGCUAGGUGUAGGUGGGCUCAUACCCAUCUGUGCCGAAGCUAACGCAUUAAGCACUCCGCCUGGGGAGUACGGUCGCGAGACUGAAACGUCAAAGGAUUGACGG
rnacentral:rRNA from 1 species